GAGAAUUUCCGAAGGUUUUGUAACACGAGGUGACAGCGCUGAGCCUUGAUAACAAGGUGCUGGGGCGCCGUGCCAAGAAGCUGGGCAGUGGUAACAACCAGGCUUGGCAGGAGGAGACGCGGCUGCCCCCCAGCCUGGCGUGAAAUGCAGGCGAACGGCUUCCCCAGGGCUCUCCUCAUGGAGCGCAGCUCCUCAGGAGGAAUCCUCUCACAAUCAAGUCACACCGGUGCCCAGGAAGAGGUCCCAUCCCCAGAGGCACAGGCACCAGCCAACCAUAAGGGGCACAGCCAUGAGCCAGAGAGGAUGGACAGAGGCCAGGAGGUGGGCGAGGACUGACAGGAACUGGUCUAAACCAGACUUCACAGGAUUGGUUCUGAGCUUUGGAGGAAGUCAGUGGUUCACACCUGGGGCCCAAGGACGUUGGCCAAUGGGAGGACUGCACGAGAAGGCACCAGAUAGUGGUUCUGCUGUUAAUCCUGCUCCCCACACAAGCACAAGCACACAGCUGACUUCUUCUGUGCCAGAGUCACAAGGGCCAAGGGAAGGCGCUGCCCACAGAAGAACCCUCAAGACAUCUUGCGUCAGCCUCACCUCUGGACCAAAUCAACAGCUCCUGUGGGAUACUUGGCACCACUGUGUCACCCGUUAAACUUCCUCCUGGAUCAGGGGGUUCCCAGAACAAGGGGACAUUUCCUGGGCCCAGCUACACUGGGAAGGAAGGAAAGCCAGGCUUGUGGGCGGGGCCCCCACCAGGGAGCCAAAGGCCUAGAGCAGGCGCAGCUGGGACAAACCUAGAGACUGCUCAAAAGUGGACAAAAUGAGACUCAGGAGAAGGGUGCUGAAUGCUCCAGGGUCACAUGACAGACGUUACCUGCCCUCGUCACUUGACCCUCGUGCCAUCCCAGCCAGGGAAUUCACGUAAUCUUCUUUGCACACACGCGUACAAUUUUAAUAACUUUUGAAGGUGUCUCAUUCUCAGACCUGACCUAUGACCACUUUGUUCCAGAACUUGUUUAUUGCAACCUUUCUUUUAAUGGAGGUGACACACAUAUAACCUACAAUUAACCAUUUGAAGUGUAUGGGUCAGCGACACUUAAUUCUCUCGCAGUGUUGCACAACUCCAAGCUCUCUCCAUUUGGUAAAGUUUUCAUCACUGCAUAAAAACACCUCACGCGCAUUAAGGAAUUGCUCCCCAUUUCAUCACCUGCCCCUGACCUCUAAUAACCUCUCUUCUCCUUCCUGUCUCUGUGCAUUUGCCUGUUCUGGUUGUCACACAUCAAAAGACAACAUGUGGCCUUGGGGGUCUGGCUUCUCUCACUCAACAUAUUUUCACACUUCAUCCCUCUGUCAAACAUGCAACAAGAUUCAUUCUUUUUAUGGCUGAGUAAUAUUCCACUGCACCAUAGACCAGGU